rnacentral:rRNA from 1 species
CACCAGCCCCUCGAGUGGUGGGGAUGAUUAUUUGGCCUAAAGCGUCCGUAGCCGGCCAGGUAAGUUUCCCGUUAAAUCCAACGUCUCAAGCGUUGGACUGCGGGAAAUACUACUUGGCUAGAGAGUGGGAGAGGUGUACGGUAUUCUGGGGGUAGGGGCGAAAUCCUUUGAUCCCCGGAGGACCACCAGUGGCGAAGGCUGUACACUAGAACACGUCUGACGGUCAGGGACGAAAGCUGGGGUAGCGAACCGGAUUAGAUACCCGGGUAGUCCCAGCUGUAAACGAUGCAUGCUAGGUGUUGGGUUGGCCACGAGCCACCCCAGUGCCGCAGGGAAGCCGUUAAGCAUGCCGCCUGGGAAGUACGAUCGCAAGAUUGAAACUUAAAGGAAUUGGCGGGGGAGCACCACCAGGCGUGAAGCCUGCGGUUU